AUGUGGCUCAGUUGGUAGAGUGCCUGCCUCGUGUGCAGGAGGUCCUGGGUUCUAGCUCCAGCAU
rnacentral:tRNA from 1 species